GUGGGUAGUUUGACUGGGGCGGUCUCCUCCUAAAGAGUAACGGAGGAGCACGAAGGUUGGCUAAUCCUGGUCGGACAUCAGGAGGUUAGUGCAAUGGCAUAAGCCAGCUUGACUGCGAGCGUGACGGCGCGAGCAGGUGCGAAAGCAGGUCAUAGUGAUCCGGUGGUUCUGAAUGGAAGGGCCAUCGCUCAACGGAUAAAAGGUACUCCGGGGAUAACAGGCUGAUACCGCCCAAGAGUUCAUAUCGACGGCGGUGUUUGGCACCUCGAUGUCGGCUCAUCACAUCCUGGGGCUGAAGUAGGUCCCAAGGGUAUGGCUGUUCGCCAUUUAAAGUGGUACGCGAGCUGGGUUUAGAACGUCGUGAGACAGUUCGGUCCCUAUCUGCCGUGGGCGCUGGAGAACUGAGGGGGGCUGCUCCUAGUACGAGAGGACCGGAGUGGACGCAUCACUGGUGUUCGGGUUGUCAUGCCAAUGGCACUGCCCGGUAGCUAAAUGCGGAAGAGAUAAGUGCUGAAAGCAUCUAAGCACGAAACUUGCCCCGAGAUGAGUUCUCCCUGAGACUUAAAGUCUCCUGAAGGAACGUUGAAGACGACGACGUUGAUAGGCCGGGUGUGUAAGCGCAGCGAUGCGUUGAGC
rnacentral:rRNA from 1 species